rnacentral:pre_miRNA from 1 species
AGUUCUUCCUCUGGUCAGCUUUCUCUGUUGUUUGAGAGCUGCCAAAUGAAGGGCUGU